rnacentral:rRNA from 1 species
GGGAUUGCCCUAGUAACGGCGAGUGAAGCGGCAACAGCUCAAAUUUGAAAUCUGGCUCUUUCAGGGUCCGAGUUGUAAUUUGCAGAGGGCGCUUUGGCGUUGGCAGCGGUCCAAGUUCCUUGGAACAGGACGUCACAGAGGGUGAGAAUCCCGUACGUGGUCGCUGGCCUUCGCCGUGUAAAGCCCCUUCGACGAGUCGAGUUGUUUGGGAAUGCAGCUCUAAAUGGGAGGUAAAUUUCUUCUAAAGCUAAAUACUGGCCAGAGACCGAUAGCGCACAAGUAGAGUGAUCGAAAGAUGAAAAGCACUUUGGAAAGAGAGUCAAAUAGCACGUGAAAUUGUUGAAAGGGAAGCGCUUGCAGCCAGACUUGCCUGUAGUUGCUCAUCCGGGCUUUUGCCCGGUGCACUCUUCUGUAGGCAGGCCAGCAUCAGUUUGGACGGUUGGAUAAAGGACUCUGUCACGUACCUCCUCUCGGGGAGGCCUUAUAGGGGAGUCGUCAUGCAACCAGUCUGGACUGAGGUCCGCGCAUCUGCUAGGAUGCUGGCGUAAUGGCUGUAAGCGGCCCGUCUUGAAACACGGACCAAGGAGUCUAACAUCUAUGCGAGUGUUUGGGUGUCAAGCCCGAGCGCGUAAUGAAAGUGAACGGAGGUGGGACCCCGCAAGGGUGCACCAUCGACCGAUCCUGAUGUCUUCGGAUGGAUUUGAGUAAGAGCAUGGCUGUUGGGACCCGAAAGAUGGUGAACUAUGCUUGAAUAGGGUGAAGCCAGAGGAAACUCUGGUGGAGGCUCGCAGCGGUUCUGACGUGCAAAUCGAUCGUCAAAUUUGGGCAUAGGGGCGAAAGACUAAUCGAACUAUCUAGUAGCUGGUUCCU